rnacentral:rRNA from 1 species
GUAUAAUGGGUCAGCGACUUAUAUUCUGUAGCAAGGUUAACCGAAUAGGGGAGCCGAAGGGAAACCGAGUCUUAACUGGGCGUUAAGUUGCAGGGUAUAGACCCGAAACCCGGUGAUCUAGCCAUGGGCAGGUUGAAGGUUGGGUAACACUAACUGGAGGACCGAACCGACUAAUGUUGAAAAAUUAGCGGAUGACUUGUGGCUGGGGGUGAAAGGCCAAUCAAACCGGGAGAUAGCUGGUUCUCCCCGAAAGCUAUUUAGGUAGCGCCUCGUGAAUUCAUCUCCGGGGGUAGAGCACUGUUUCGGCAAGGGGGUCAUCCCGACUUACCAACCCGAUGCAAACUGCGAAUACCGGAGAAUGUUAUCACGGGAGACACACGGCGGGUGCUAACGUCCGUCGUGAAGAGGGAAACAACCCAGACCGCCAGCUAAGGUCCCAAAGUCAUGGUUAAGUGGGAAACGAUGUGGGAAGGCCCAGACAGCCAGGAUGUUGGCUUAGAAGCAGCCAUCAUUUAAAGAAAGCGUAAUAGCUCACUGGUCGAGUCGGCCUGCGCGGAAGAUGUAACGGGGCUAAACCAUGCACCGAAGCUGCGGCAGCGACGCUUAUGCGUUGUUGGGUAGGGGAGCGUUCUGUAAGCCUGUGAAGGUGUGCUGUGAGGCAUGCUGGAGGUAUCAGAAGUGCGAAUGCUGACAUAAGUAACGAUAAAGCGGGUGAAAAGCCCGCUCGCCGGAAGACCAAGGGUUCCUGUCCAACGUUAAUCGGGGCAGGGUGAGUCGACCCCUAAGGCGAGGCCGAAAGGCGUAGUCGAUGGGAAACAGGUUAAUAUUCCUGUACUUGGUGUUACUGCGAAGGGGGGACGGAGAAGGCUAUGUUGGCCGGGCGACGGUUGUCCCGGUUUAAGCGUGUAGGCUGGUUUUCCAGGCAAAUCCGGAAAAUC